GAAUGUGGAUGAUGAAAAUGGGUACAAGAAACAAUAUUUAUGUAAUAGCGAUUGUUAUGAUAAUGGGCAUUGAAAUGGUUAAUGCUUUUAGGGUUGGGGUUGAUCUAAUGCUAGGCAUCGAUUCUGGUGGACUUCUUGGAGAUGAUGGCAUUCUCGGCGGACUUCUUGGAGAUGAGGGCCUUCUCGGCGGACUUCUUGGAGAUGAUGGCAUUCUCGGCGGACUUCUUGAAGAAGAUGGCCUUCUCGGCGGACUUCUUGGAGAUGAUGGCAUUCUCGGCGGACUUCUUGAAGAAGAUGGCCUUCUCGGCGGACUUCUUGGAGAUGAUGGCAUUCUUGACAUGCUUUUAGGUCCCUAACACUAAUUAAGCGAGAUUGUCAGCCACAAAUUUAAGAGUUUUACAUAGUUUCCCGUUUAUAGAUACGGUCAAAAUAAUAUAUGUUUUACAUGUUUUUUUCAUUUCCUGGCAGCUUUGAGGUGUCCGGGUUUACAUGGGGACGAUGGUUAGGCCAGAGUUCCCGAUGCAUUCCCACCCUCCUUGCUGCGUUCUCUCUUGGUUUUUGCUUCUCUUCCUUUCCUAGACGAGUACUCUUUUUCCUUGUUAUGGUUUUUCCCAUGGGGUUUUUUGUAACAAGGUUUUAAUGAGGCUCGGCCCUUUGAUUGCGUCCUGUGCUUUCUUGGGUUUUUUUUAGGUUUUUUGUUUUGCAAUAAAAUCGUAUUUUA
rnacentral:lncRNA from 1 species